rnacentral:rRNA from 1 species
UACAGAGGGAGCUAGCGUUGUUCGGAAUUACUGGGCGUAAAGCGCGCGUAGGCGGCCCGAUAAGUCCGCUGUGAAAGUCCAGGGCUCAACCCUGGGAUGCCGGUGGAUACUGUCGGGCUCGAGUCCGGAAGAGGAGUGUGGAAUUCCUGGUGUAGCGGUGAAAUGCGUAGAUAUCGGGAGGAACACCAGUGGCGAAGGCGACUACCUGGCCUGUUCUUGACGCUGAGGCGCGAAAGCUAGGGGAGCAAACGGG